AGCUUUGAUAAAAUAUACUCUGUUGAUUCUAUUACUGGAGAUAUUCAUGUCAGCACUAUUAAUGGCUCCAGUAAGAAUAAAUCUGACCAUGCAUCAAGAUAUAAUGACAUAGAAAUUGAUGUAGUUGAGAAUGUGCUUUACUACAUUGAUGACAAAGACAUCAAACGGGGAAAUCUUGACUUGACUAGAAACGAAAUUUUUGCGAAAAAUGUUUUUGCUCAUGACAUUACAGUUGACUGGAUUGGUCGUCGUAUCUUUUACAUUGACUCCACCAACAUUAUUUACCAAAUUUUUUUGAAAAAGAACAUUACAAGUGUUAUGAGGCUUCAACCAGGCUUACAAUUUUCCAGCAUUGCAUUUGACUCAAAACAUGGGUAUCUAUUCUUGGCAGAAAGUACAGAACUUUUCUUAUGGUUAUGGAGCGUGAGUGCAAAAAAGCAUCAUAUUCUUUCAGUUUCACUUCAGUCAAUAGCACAUGAUCUAACGCUUGACAUGGCUAAAGAGAAGAUUUAUUGGCGAAGUUCAAACGGAAAUAUAUUUUCGUAUGUUUACAACUCCCAAAAUGUAACUGAUUUUGGAACUUCACGAGGUCCCAUGGCAGUAUUUGGGGAUUUCAUUUAUAUCAUAACUAGUGUUGGACGAAGUGUCGUUAGUGUCCAUAACACAACAGAUCAACGUAUGAGACGCAAAUAUUUUCUUCCUGUAAACAACGCUUAUCUUGAUUUGGCUGUAGCUAUGCACAGUAUCACUCCUGACUCAAACGCGACAAGCACUUUUCACUUUCCUUUGUGUGGACCCAACACAUACUAUCGUAAAAUUAAUGGAACAUUGAACUGCACGUGUAUACUCAGGAGAGGAUACUCAGGAGAAUGUAACUCGU